rnacentral:rRNA from 1 species
UGGGGAAUAUUGCACAAUGGGCGCAAGCCUGAUGCAGCCAUGCCGCGCGUAUGAAGAAGGCCUUCGGGUUGCAAAGUACUUUCAGUCGGGAGGAAGGUGGUAAGGUUAAUAACCUUAUCAAUUGACGUUACCGACAGAAGAAGCACCGGCUAACUCCGUGCCAGCAGCCGCGGUAAUACGGAGGGUGCAAGCGUUAAUCGGAAUUACUGGGCGUAAAGCGCACGCAGGCGGUUGAUUGAGUCAGAUGUGAAAUCCCCGGGCUUAACCCGGGAAUUGCAUCUGAUACUGGUCAGCUAGAGUCUUGUGGAGAGGGGUAGAAUUCCAUGUGUAGCGGUGAAAUGCGUAGAGAUGUGGAGGAAUACCGGUGGCGAAGGCGGCCACCUGGACAAAGACUGACGCUCAGGUGCGAAAGCGUGGGGAGCAAACAGG